GCGUGAAAGCAAGCAAGACAAACGCACCCAAAAUGUCACUAAUAAGACUGAAGUCACCAUCUUUGGGCCAAUUUCACUAACCACAAUCAGGUCUGUGUUCCAAAAAUCACUAGCUCAUAUUACGUAUACAUCACCAGAUGUUCAGUACUGGCAGUGAAUUUUGAAACGCAACUUAGAUCAGUCCACUAACCACCACUAACAUCUAACGUCUAACCGUGAUCAAACCAUGACAGUUGGUGAAAUUUUACGAUUUUGCUCUUAACGUUGAACAUGAUACACAUGAUCGAUGCAUCUUUCAUCCUUGUUAUUUGUCAAAUGUUAAACGAGGAUGAACAAUGCAUUAUGCGUGAAAUAAAACAUAUCCUUCGUCAGGCCACAAGGAGUCGUCCGUUGGCGACGAAAGAAGAACCGUGUCAAGUUACGGUACCGCGAUCUUCCUACAUUGAAAAUGGGUAAAUCUAUAUAUCAACAAAAAUUUCGAUCAGAAUGGAAAUCAAAUUCCAAUUUAAAAGAUUGGAUUCGUGAAGAUAUGACAGAUAAAACCAAAGCUUAUUGCAAAUAUUGCAAGUGCAAUAUACAGUGCAAGUUAAGCGAUUUGAUAUCGCAUGCUAAUACAAAAAAAACAGCAGCAAUCAGAUCGCAUGUAAUGGAAUCCAAAAUUUCAUUUAAAUCUACAUCUACCAAGACACAAGAACAGGAAGCUGCUUUAGCUUUAUAUAUUAGUCAACAUAGUGCAAUAGCACCUAUUGAUCAUUUAAGUUCUUUGUGUAAAAAUAAAUUUGACGAUAGUCAAAUAAAAUUACACCCCAGUGAGAAACGAUAAUGAAUUCGACAUCAAUUUGACGUCGAAUCGACAUCGAAAUGAUGAUUUCGACGUCGAAUCGAUGUCGAUUCGAUGUACUAUUUCUCACUGGGACAGAACUAAAUGUACUAACAUAAUAAAAAACGUAUUGGCAUUCAUUUUGUCGAAGAUUUACGGAUUGACAUUGAAAAUUUAAAAAUUUAGUUUAUUGCUCGACAAAUCAACAGAUAUUAGCGUCACGAAACUUUUUGGCAUUGUUAUCAUAUAUUUCAGUAAAAAACAACAAAAAAUAAUAUCAACGUUCCUUUCAUUGGCAGAACUUAAAAGUGUAGAUGUGAGGACAUUGUAAAUUGCCUGAAAAAUAAACUUAAAAAAAUUUAAAUUAAAUAUUAAAAAUCUGAUUGGUAUAGGAACGGAUAAUGCCAGUGUCAUGGUUGGUUGCAACAAAAGCGUAUAUACUGAACUGAAAAAAGAAAUACCUUAUCUUAUACUUAUUCGAUGUGUCUGUCAUUCUGUGCAAUUGGCGAUAAAUUAUGUUUGUAAAGAAUGCUUUCCUAGAAGCCUAGAAUUUUUGGUUCAUGAAACAUACAAUUGAUUUAGCAAGAGUUCUAAUCGCCAAUCUGUGUAUAAAUAACUGUAUGAAGUAAUCAAUAACGGCAUGGAACCAUUAAAAAUAGUUAGAGUUUGUGAUACGCGUUGGUUGUCCAUUGAAAUUGCAGUUUCCCGUAUAUUAGAGCAAUGGCUGGAGUUGAAAACACAUUUCAAUAUAGUUAGAAAGCUAUUUCUUAAACCGAUUUUAUCAAAACUGCAAUCAUUAAACAAGAGCUUUCAAAGCAAUACUAGUAAUCCAACUAAGUUAUUAAAAGAUUUAGUAAUCAUUAUAAAUUCUUUAAAAAACAAAGUUAUUAAUUCAGCACAUAAAUUUGACGUUAUAACGUGUUGCGUAUAGAAAUCGUGCAUAUAAAAUUAAUAAUAUCAAAGCAUAAUAGAUGCAUUUGGCAUCGUGUUCGGACUCGAGAUCGUAGCGUGACGUCGGCAUGCAUACAUGACCAUAUUUGGAGUUGUUUAAAGGCCGUCGUCAACAAUCAUUCUUUUGUCUAUAAAUAACGCAAUGAGAAUUAUAAAAAAAAGGGAAUUGAAAAUCGGAAAAUAGCAUGUCUUUUGGGCAAAGGAUCUUCAUUUUUGGUUCGGCCCCCGAGUAAUAAACACGGAUUCUCUCUCUCUCCCGGUCACGCAGUUAUCGCUACGAUCUCGAAGUCGCGACGCACUACCAUUAGUGAUUGUGAGAUCUACGGAUCUUUAACGAAUUAUUAGCACGGUCGUUACGCAUCAUAUCGAUAUUUGCAGCGACUCAGUUCGCGUGUGCUCCUAGACGUUGUCGCCGCCUAAUCACAAUCACAAUCCGGCGACUCAGGGCAUACGUGUUCCUAGGCGUUGUCGCUGUGAAAUAGUGCGUGCGCGAUCGAAAGCUUCUAUAAUAUAAAAUAAAACUGUCAAAUAAAAACGAUCGAUAUCGCAGAGUGUUUCAAUAAACUCAUCAUAAAGUGACUGCAAUAUAA